rnacentral:rRNA from 1 species
CGGGGUGGAGUAACGCGUGGGUAACCGUGCCUCAUACAGGGGGAUAACAGUUAGAAAUGGCUGCUAAUACCGCAUAAGCACACAGUGUUGCAUGACACAGUGUGAAAAACUCCGGUGGUAUGAGAUGGACCCGCGUCUGAUUAGCUAGUUGGUGGGGUAACGGCCUACCAAGGCGACGAUCAGUAGCCGACCUGAGAGGGUGACCGGCCACAUUGGGACUGAGACACGGCCCAA